GUCAAGUCAUCAUGGCCCUUAUGUCCAGGGCUACACACGUGCUACAAUGGGCGGUACAAAGUGACGCGAAUCCGUGAGGAAUAAGCGAACCACCAAAAGCCGCCCGUAGUUCGGAUUGAAGUCUGAAACCCGACUUCAUGAAGUUGGAAUCGCUAGUAAUCGCGCAUCAGCAUGGCGCGGUGAAUACGUUCCCGGGGCUU
rnacentral:rRNA from 1 species